CGCUAUAUGUGAGAGCAUAAUCAGUUAGUAUCGUAUAAGGCGUGAUGCCUUAAAAUUAGGUGUCUGAAUUCCUGUAAAAAUUAAAUUGAGAUAAUUCACUAACUUGGUUCUUUUUACAUGCCUGAGUAGCGGAUAAAGAGAAUAUGCACCGAUUCGGAGGUGUCAUCAUGAAAGAGCCUGAAAAAAGUCAUGAAAGGACCAAUAUUAUUGUAUACGAAAGUGUCGCGUAUAUUUAUCAUGGGAGAACUCCUUUACUUUGGUAAGUGUGGGCUGUCACUCUUCUGCUUGCUUUGUUUGAUUAUCGUCAUUUAGCUUCUCUGAUUUCCCCCCCUCUUUAUUUAUUCAUUUUUUUUUUUUUUUACUUAGUGUAUAAAACUUGCAUGUUCUACGUUUAUUUGAGUUGUUUCUAGUUGUGAUAUGUGCCUGUGAACUUAAAAUUAUACCAUUACAGAGCCAUACUAAAUAUAUCUCAUCAAAGGUUUUUUAACAGAAGUAUUCAUCUGAAUAGAAAAGUUGCAGCAAGGUCAUAGAAGAGUUUUAAAAAAGGUCAUACCUCUGAAAAUAUAGAACGCUAAUAAAAGGGCUAGGACGAGAGUUAUAUAAGUUGAUGGCACCAGAAAAAAAAGGAGGCCUGUUAGCUCGGCAACGAGCAAACAAAGGUGAAAUAGAAAGGCGUCGUCUUCUCGACAAUUCAGUUAUAGCUAACUUGGCUAGUCCAUCAUCUUCUGAAGCUAGCACUUCUUUCAGGGAGUGAGCUUCCUCCGUUGUAAGACGGUCACUGCUUCUUGGUGGUGGAAUUUGUCAAUUCUAAAAAGGUGAUAAAAAUAAGAUAAAUUCUCAUAAGUCGAGUUUAAGAAACUUGUUAGUUCUAAAUCAUGCUUAUGGACUGCCUGACCAAAGGUAACUGUGUUCAGCUAAUGUUUGUUACUGCUGAAUAAGAACAAAAAUUAUUAUCUGGCAUAUACAGUCAUUUUUAUGUCAGACCCAACUAUAUCAAGCCUUCUUCCUAUAUCAAGCCUUCUUCUAAUCAUUAUCAACAGGACAAAUUUGAACACUAAAAUUUUAAGUAGCAUAAUUGAUUAGGGAACGGACAGAGCUAUUAUAUAUUUUCCAGAACCCAGGUAAGCCAUAAACCAUAAAUAGAAUCAUGUACUAUACUAUGGUAAAGAAAGUUCAUCUUAAUCCGUUGGCUGCUAAGUCACAUAUUUGUUGAAGCUACCCCUGUAACUCAAGUUCAAGAAACUUUGUAGUUCUAUAUCAUGUUGUGCAAACUUACUGACUGCUUGACGAAGGGUGGAGCUUCCGAAAUAAGAAACUCUUGAAUUUUCAGACCUCUGAUCAUAAAUUUUGAUGUGAAAAUUCACAAGAGCUAACACUGAGAUGACCCCUUCCAGAGUCCAAACCUCCAUUUCUCUGACCUGCUGUCCCCCAUGUUUGGCUCUUCCUCUAAGAGGUUAUUGUGCAACAAGCGCAUAACGUCCACUGGAAUGCCCGUGGAUUUUACUAUCAAUUCGAUGAAUUAAUUUCGAGAUAUAAGGUUUUAGAAGCCAACUUGCAUUGAUGAAAAAGAUAACGACUAAAUAAAUGCUCUUUUUUCCUCUUCAACUAUAAUAGUUCUCUUUUAAUUUAGGCUUGGUUAAUUCCUUGUUAAAUAUGUUUUACUUACUGAAGUUCCUAGAUUCAUUAACUAGAUGUAUGCCUGGCUGGUUUAAGAGACUACUGCUAGCUGUAAUAUGAUUUUCUAUUUAUUUAGCGUCAGUUGAAAGCUACUUGCAAAAUUUCUGUUGUGUUUUGAUGUGUCAAUUAAUAUUAGAGUUUAUUAAUGGUACCAAACAUUGAAUGGGGAAAGAACAUCCCUGUUGCUGGAUAUAAGAUGUGAAGAUUCAACAUUUGGGAUUUCUCUACUUGAAAAAGAUGUGUUAACACUUACUCUGGGCUUAAAAGAUGACCUUGCGGACUUAAGCACAAGUUGCACUUAAGCGUAAUUUCCAGCAGUGGUUAUCCGAUUCCGAACUCGGAAGCCUAAAAGAUGACCAUGUAGGCGUAGAGGUGGAAGUCAGUGACAAACAUUUAGUUUAGUUGUUAAACACUGGUUGUAUGAUUUUGUUAAUUGGACCAUGUAUUUUCCAGGUUCAGAGUAUUGUCUUUUGGCUUAUCAUUUUUUGUUACUGUUAUCUUCUUGCAGGAUUUUUAUCCUGUCAUUUGGUUUUCCCAGGAAGUUCUUGAAGUAAAGUGAACCUCAGACUGCUAACUUUUUUGCCACCCUGCACUGUCUUUUUUGAAAGCUGGGUCAAAGAAAAACGAGAAUAUAUUCGACGCUUGAUGCUUUAAAAAGGUCUUUUGUCAACCACGGCGUCACACAGGUACAACGGAAACUUCGAAGAACAAGAUGACUGCCAACGGCAUAGUAGCAAGCCGCGUUACCAUUUUGCAUUUUGCCAAUGCGGCUUCUGUCAAUAUGUAAAUAAUGUGCAUAUAUGCACAUACAGUGCAGUCAUGAAUGAAUGUAAAUAUAUCAACAAUUUUAAUAA